rnacentral:rRNA from 1 species
AAAUUGAAGAGUUUGAUCAUGGCUCAGAUUGAACGCUGGCGGCAGGCCUAACACAUGCAAGUCGAACGGUAACAGGAAGCAGCUUGCUGCUUCGCUGACGAGUGGCGGACGGGUGAGUAAUGUCUGGGAAACUACCUGAUGGAGGGGGAUAACUACUGGAAACGGUGGCUAAUACCGCAUAACGUCGCAAGACCAAAGAGGGGGACCUUCGGGCCUCUUGCCAUCAGAUGUGCCCAGAUGGGAUUAGCUUGUUGGUGAGGUAACGGCUCACCAAGGCGACGAUCCCUAGCUGGUCUGAGAGGAUGACCAGCCACACUGGAACUGAGACACGGUCCAGACUCCUACGGGAGGCAGCAGUGGGGAAUAUUGCACAAUGGGCGCAAGCCUGAUGCAGCCAUGCCGCGUGUAUGAAGAAGGCCUUCGGGUUGUAAAGUACUUUCAGCGGGGAGGAAGGUGUUGCGGUUAAUAACCGCAGCAAUUGACGUUACCC